AACGAACGCUGGCGGCAUGCCUAACACAUGCAAGUCGAACGGGAUCCUAGCUUGCUAGGUGAGAGUGGCGGACGGGUGAGUAACACGUGGGAAUCUGCCUUUUGGUUCGGGAUAACCGCGGGAAACUGCGGCUAAUACCGAAUGCCCUCGUGAGAGGAAAGAUUUAUCGCCAGAAGAGGAGCCCGCGUCCGAUUAGGUAGUUGGUGGGGUAAAGGCCUACCAAGCCGACGAUCGGUAGCUGGUCUGAGAGGAUGAUCAGCCACACUGGGACUGAGAUACGGCCCAGACUCCUACGGGAGGCAGCAGUGGGGAAUUUUGGACAAUGGGGGCAACCCUGAUCCAGCAAUGCCGCGUGAGUGAAGAAGGCCUUCGGGUUGUAAAGCUCAUUUGUCAGGGAAGAAAAGGACUGUGGCUAAUAUCCACAGCUGCUGACGGUACCUGAAGAAUAAGACACCGGCUAACUACGUGCCAGCAGCCGCGGUAAU
rnacentral:rRNA from 1 species